GGAUAAACGCUGAAAGCAUCUAAGCGUGAAGCCCCCCUCAAGAUGAGAUUUCCCAUUUCUUCGGAAAGUAAGAUCCCUGAAAGAUGAUCAGGUAGAUAGGUUUGGAGUGGAAGUGUAGCGAUACAUGGAGCGGACAAAUACUAAUCGAUCGAGGACUUAACCAA
rnacentral:rRNA from 1 species